GAACAGAGGCAGCUACAAAGGGUGUGACUGCAGGCCCUCCUUAACUCCUCUUGGAUGCUGCCAGUGGAUGUGAAGGGGACUGACUCCAAUUGCUCGACUUCAAAAUAGCCCUAACGUGGUCUGGCAAGACACAGAGGCGCAAUUCAUAGCGAGCACAUAAUGGCUGCAGAUUGCCCACUUUCUCAGGAUUAGCAAGGAUCUCCUUUCCUUCUCCAGUAUGAUACCUGGAAUUGGGAACCUUACCCAGGACACCCUGUGGUGCUUCAGUCAAGUGAAAGGGACCAUCGACAUUGGAGUCACUGAAGAUUCAAUGCAUUUUUUAUAGAAUCUUAGACCUUUUACAUCCAUGAAGAACCUGAGAGAUCAAGCCCAAGACUUUCAUUUUACAAAAAAAGUCCUCUAAAGAAGGAAGGGCAGAUGUUAGCAGUCCCAUUUCAAAAAUGAGAAAAUGGAGUUACAGAGAAGUGAAAUGACCUGCUGAAAGUAAAUGAUAUUAUAUACUUCAACAACAAUACUAUAUGAUGACCAGUUCUGAUGGACCUGGCCAUCCUCAGCAACGAGAUCAACCAAAUCAUUUCCAAUGGAGCAGUAAAGAACUGAACCAGAACUCUGGGUGAUGACUAAAAACCACUACAUUGAAUUCCCAGUCCCUAUAUUUAUAACCACCUGCAUUUUUGAUUUCUUUCACAAGCUAAUUGUACAAUAUUUCAGAGUCUGAUUCUUUUUGUACAGCAAAAUAACGGUUUGAUCAUAUAUACUUAUUGUGUAUCUAAUUUAUAUUUUAAUAUAUUUAACAUCUACUGGUCAUCCUGCCAUCUGGGGGAGGGGGUGAGGGGUAAGAGGUGAAAAAUUGGAACAAGAGGUUUGGCAAUUGUUAAUGCUGUAAAGUUACCCAUGCAUAUAACCUGUAAAUAAAAGGCUAUUAAAUUAAAAAAAUAAUAAUAAUAAUAAAAAGAAAGUAAAUGAUAAAAUGGAAUUAGACCCAAGUAUUUCAGCCCCUAGUCAAUCCAGUUCUCUUUCCACUAAAGAAGCUUUUGGAAAUACAGAAUAAUUAUUUAAUGGUAGGAUUUCAACAAUUAUAGAUAGGGAGAUUCUUCUGAAUUAUUGUUGUUCACACAUUUUAAAAUUGUAUCUGACUCUUCAUGACCACAUUUGGAGCUUUCUUGGACAAAUAUACAGGUGUGGUUUGCCUUUCCUUCUCCAGCUCAUUUUGCAAUUGAGGAAACUAAGGUAAACAGGGUUAAAUGACUUGCCCAGGGCUCUCAACUAGUUUGAGGCCAGAUUUGACUUUAGGAAGAUGAAAAUUUCCUCCCUUUUCUUCCAUAGAGGAUCUAUUCAAUAUAACAGACAUCUUCCUUUAAUUCUUUUCACUUUCCAUGGGUACCAGUACAACAGUAAGAAUGUCUAUCUGUUAUUUCCUCACUAUUGUUACUAUAUACAAACAAUCUAAGUCCCUUUCCAAUUUAACAUUUUCUGGAUUUUGCACUAAUAUCUGUAGAAGAUAUAGAAAAAUUCUGCAAAUUAUUUGAUAAUGCCCUACAAAUUAAAUAAACACAUACCUUGAUACUUAGUGACUUCAAUGAAAAGAUGGGUGUGGAAAAAGAUGGCUAAAAAUAAAUUAAAGAGCAUAGUCCAGGAGUAGGAAAUGAAAGAGGGCAACAGUGUGUAGACUAGUAAUCUCAUUUCCAUACACCAUGCAUGCUUUGUCCAAGAAUAGAACUGGGAGUUACUGGACAUGGCAUGCAUCACAAAAAUUGUUGAUUUUAUUUCAAAUAAUUGGGGGACAAAAGACUGGCUUUGUAAAACUAUUUCUGAAUCAGCUGUCAGGACAUCAAUUUGUAAGAACAAAGGCCAAAAUUAGGAAAGAGUAACAAUGAGAAGUUGUGUUGUCCAAUUGAGAAAACUUUAAACUAAUCUAUUUAAAUAGGAUGUUGGUCCCCAAAACUGGGAAAUAGAUAAAAGAAGACAGAUGGAUUGAGACUAUCACUAUUUCCUAAGGAUGUUUAACUUAAGUAAAUCAACCACUCAAUAAGAAGAGCUAAAAAGAAUAGGAUUGCCUUGGUCAGAAAACUAUUUAUUUAUUUAUUUAGCCAACAGGAAAGAUAUACCAGCCAAACAACAAUGCCAGUCCGGAAUAAAAAUUUACUUGUACAAUCUAAUGGAAAAGGAUGUUAAGAGAAUGUGAGUAUUAUUGCCUCAUAAAAUGACAAAAAAUAGUUAAAGAAAAAAUUUUACUGAAAGCUUGGCUAGAGAACAAGCUAGAUCAUCUCUACGUUAUUUAAGAAUCAAAGUGAAACGACAAGCAAGUGUAAAAUGGAAAAGAUCUGUACACAUUUCUGUAACAAUCCAGCUUCUUAACUAAUCUCUUUUCUCUAUUCAUGACAUUGUAAUAACUACAUACAAAUACUAAUAUAAUUUUUUUUAAUUUGCUGCCUGAAGAAGAAUAAAUGGUCCUUAAGAACAUAAAGUUAGGGAGAGCAACUGUACUAGACAAAGUAUAGAGAGAAGUCCAGAAUGGGGAUAGCAUAAUUUUCAAGGCAAUAAAGUAUCAAUACUAAAGAUUUCUAAAAAGUGCUUGGGGAACGGUCCUCCAAAUGCCUGUGGAAAGACACCAAUCUUGUUUUUACUAAAAAGCAUAAAUGAGAAUAUAUCCGAUUUAAGCUGAAAGGGAUUGUAGUGGCUAUAAUCAAUUCUGAUUUUAAAAAACAAAAUAAAACCUAAGGCUCAGAAAAGUAACAUUUACUUGCUCAAAGUCACACAACAUAUUUUAUUAUUUUUUAUGCACAAUAUGUUUUACUUAUGAAGCUAGAAUUUUAUCCCAGGUCUUUUGACUCCAAAAUCAAUGACCUAUUAUAUCAUCCUGCCUCUAACCAUAGACCUUUAUGCCUGUUUUGCUGUCUUUGUAAAACUUAUGAGAAUAAUUUAUUCACAUAUUGAAGACAUCCUUGAUAAUAGAAAAGGAAGGGAACAGCUAAGUUUCAUAAAUAAUGUUCUACAGCAGACAAUCUUUCUCCAGAUGCCUAAUUGAAGGAAAUUUGUAGAGAAUAUGACCUCCCAUUGUGCCUAUUAUUUGUUGACUAUAAUAGAUUUAAUUGUAUAAAGUGUAAAAUCAUGUUAAAGGCUCUCCUUCAAGAGAUUUUCCCCCAUGAAUAAGUUGAAAUCACCCAACAUUCUUUGUAAGUCAUAAUAAACAAAAACUUGGUUCAUCUACCCUUUUACCAUCAAUACAAAGUAAAACAUAAAACAGGAAGACACAUGCUUGCCAAAGGUAAUUGUGACUGCCAAAGACAGAAUUCAGAUUGAAAAUAGAUUCCAUAUAAAUGGUCAAGUCUUCCAGAUGCUUCUUUUUUGCAUAUUUCGUUAUUUUACUUAUAUUGUGCCCUAGGACAUUUCAGAAUGUCUCAAUUUUAAGACCUAAAUCAUUCAAAUGAUUAUGAUCAAAAUAUGCACACAAAGGAAAAGCCAAAUGGAUAAAAAUUGUUUGUUGCCCUGUCAAUAAUAUGCAAUUUUACUGAUGGCCCACAGGACUGGCCUCCUUAUCUUAGACAGCCUUAAGAAAUGAUUAGACUUGGGACAGCUAAAUAGAGCAAUGGAUAGAGCACCAACACUGGAGUCACAAAGCCAGUAAAGUGUAUGAAGUCACAUUUGAACUAAGAUCUCUCUGACUACAAGCCCAGUGCUCUAUCGGUACACCUGUUAAAUGCCUCCUUUAAUGUUAAUAAUCAGAGAAUUCUUGAACAGUUAUCUAUGGCUAUAUCUAUGAAGAACCAUAUAUGAUUUUCACAUAUUCAUGGGAGACAUUUUAUUGAAAGAUUGCCAUGAAAAAUUGCAUUUUUCUCUAUCAAUUUAGAUAUUAAAAAAAUAGUAAAUAGAGUAGCAUUCUCUAUCAUAUGAUCAAUUAAUAUGAUUGAAGACGUGAUCUGCUAUAGAAAAUUGCUUAUUAAGACUUUUCCCAUUCCCAUCAAGGAUAUUUAUACAUUAAGGAUCUAUACAUAUAUAGAUCACUUCCAAAAAUACCUUAUAAAAAUGAGAAAAUAGGCAAGUGAGUCAAUAGUAACUGAUUUAUCUUUGAUCAUCUUUGUUUGCUGAUAAUAUUAUUCAUGUUUUUCCCCUAAUUUUUCAGGAUUAUCCCUUCUUUCAAAUGUAUAAGAAAAACAAUUCUUUUUUGUUAAAAAUUUAUAUUGUUUCCAACAUAGAAUUCUCUUGAUUGUCCUUGAUGUGGUAUAGCUGUUCCUCCUAAUUUCAUUUUUUAAAAAGUUCUCCUUUAGAAUACUGGGGGCUAGUGUUAGCAUCCCAAUGUGUUAAAGUCAUUUUCUUAGAAAUAUGUCAUUAUAGAAAUCUUGGAAAAUCUUUUUUAGUUUUCCUUAUUUGUUAUUCUCCAUUCCCCUCCCUAAAAAUGUUCUUGGGAUUUUCUAGGGUCAUUGGGUCUCACAUCAAGCUUUCUGAAGAUUAAUUUCCCCUCUCUUUACUAUUCUUAACUGUUUUGUGUGGUGACAGUUUUUAUAACCUUAUUUUAAUGUGGUGUGAAUGAAUGUGAAUUCUUUACUGGUGCUGCUCUUAUUUGCCAAGACUUGAUAAGGAGAGCCAAGGUUUGCUGGUUCAUGCUGUUUCUGGGUCCUUUUGACCUUUUUAUUGUAGUGAUGGCUUUUUAUCAUAGGAUCAUAAAUCUGAAACUCAAAGGGACCUCAGAGGCCACCUAGUCCAAUUCUUUCAUUCUAUAGAGGAGGAAAUAAGAGAUUAAAUGAUUUGUCCAAGGUCACGCAGUAAGUAUCAGAAAGCCCAAUGUCUCCAGAAACAGCAUUUUUUUCUCCUUUACCACACAGCUUCCCUCAGUUAUAGAAAAUAAUCAUAAGUUGAAUAUGUCCUUUUCCCAAUGCCAAUUUUCAAUCUACAAGUUUAUUCGAAUAUGCCAGAUUAAAAAUAUUGUCAUACUCCACAAUUUUUCCUUCUUUUUCCUUUUAUUUUGCUACUGAUUUUGAUCAUUGUUCUAAAUAGUCAGUGGCCUACUUAGAUACAGAAAACUGAUUUAGAAAUUAUUCCUACUAUGUUCUUGUCUUCUUUGUAUCCUCAAUUCUUAGCACUGUGCCCAAUAUAGUAGGCACUUAAAAAUGUUUGUUAAUGGAUUGUUGUUAUGAUAGUCAAAUCCUUUUUCUGUGUAAGCUAUAGCUGUCUGACUUUUCUUGAAGAAAAUACUGAUGCUCAGAGAAGCAUGAGGCUUCUGAGCCCUCUCUAAACCGUUUAGUCUUUUUUAUUUCUUUAUCUCAAACUGUAACCAGAGAAUCAAGAUAUUCCUAAAAUAUUUUAGAAUAUUUAUUAAGAAAACAUACUCCAGGUGUCUGCUAUCGUGACCUUUUAUGAGUUGAAAGUUAAGGUACAAAAGUCAGAUAUUGUGUCAUAGAAAUGAAUGAACAUGAACUUGGACAGAUUUUAAGAGAUGGUGAGGGAUUUAAGUGCCAUGGUUCUUGGGGUCAUGAAGAGUCAGACACGCUUGAAUGCUUGAACAACAAAAAUUCUCACAAGGUCUACAGAGUUUGUAAUUCAUUUUGUUUUCUGUUCUUCACCUAUUCAGCAAUUGGGAUGGACAUAGGACAGCUGGUUAGGACUAAAAAUAGUUACUUCACUUUGUGACAGGGUAGUUGCAAAGGAACUUUGUAUGCAGGGAUUUUACUCCAGAAAUAGCUAUGAGACACAUGAAAAUAUGAAGGUAGGAUUAUAGACUUAGGGGGAAAAGAGAGGAUAUAAAGUUUAAUCUCCUCAUUUGACAGAUGGGGAAAGUGAGACAUAGGGAAGUUAAACAAAUUACCUUGUGUCCUAUAAUAGUAAGUGUCUGAGGUGGAAUUUGACUUUGGGUCUUUUACAGAUUACAGGUCCCUCUUUCUAUCCUAUGCAUCACCUAAUUGCCUAAAGAAAAGGUGGCCUUUAUUUUUCUUUCCAAUGGAUAAAUUGUUGAUAUGCUCCUGGUCAGCCAGCAAUGAGUUUAGUAGGUUUUUAUAUUAGUAUUGGUGACAGAAUGCUAAUUGAGAAUUGCCAACCAGUGACAAGAGCAAAAAAUAAUUUAAUAAUAAGAGAGAUUCUCUUUCACUUCUUUCAUCCUAUUUGUUACCUCAAACCAAGAAGAAAGUUACAUGCUGAAGGUACAAGAUGUGCACUGCUGUUUCAGUAAUCCUGAAGUCCCAAAUGGAUCCUACUAAGUCUGAGCCUCAGAUUGUGAUGCAGAGAAUAGUGUCUCCCACAAUUUAUUCAAUAGUUCUCCCUCCCUCUCUCCUUCCUUCCUUCCUUUUUUAUUAUUUUCCUUCCUUCUUUUAUUUAUUUGUUUGUUUGUUUAUAUAUUUUUGGCAAUAGAUAUUUCUUUAAAACCUGUUAUAUUUAGAACAGUGAGUUAGGUACUAAGGUAGAUGCAAGAAUAGCUUAUAAUAAUAGUUUUCUUACAUUUAUACAAUAGUAUUUUGAGAUUUACAAAAUGCUUUUAUAUGCAUCUUGCAGACAUUUUACAUACAAGUUGGUGAUAUUAUUAUCUCCAUCUGGUAUCUUAGGCUUUCCCCCAGAAAAGUUGGAGUCUAGUCAAUGGGUAAAGCAAGAGUACAAUAUAUACAAAAAUAGCCAUAACACAUACCCCUAAACUCAUGAUAUACUAGGAACCUACCUGCUUGAUCAUAGUUGGCAAUAUCCUUGGGACUACUUCAUUUCCUACUCUCAUCCAUCUAGAAUGUUAAAAGUUCCCAGUGGAUCAUGUUGAAUGAACUGAGGGUAUACUUGCUUGUUAUAAAUAAGGUAAAAAUCCCUUUAAUUCAAACUUAUACCUUUCUUAGAAAAAGAGAUAUCACUUCCAUUCACAUAUGAAAAAUGUUUGAAUAUAGAAUUUUCCAAUUUUCAAAAGAUAAGAACUAAGGAGACCUAAAUUCUAGCAUAUGUGACUUGACCAAAUGGAUAUAGUAGGUAGGAAUUCAUGGUGUAAAUCUUCUGUGGCUCUUCCUCUCACUAUCUUUUUGCACAUAGCAGACAGAAAAGUAAAUACUUCUUAGCUCUUUUCAUCUCUUUUUCCUCCUUCUUCCUGGAGGACAAUGGUGAGGAAAGUCCACGAGUCAUCAUAAUAACCAUUGCUAGAAAUGAUUCAACUUGUCCAAAACUGAGCUCGUUAUCUUUUCCUCCAAAUUCACCCAACUUCCAGGUUUCCUUAUUUAUGCCAAAAGCACCAAGAUUCUUUUAAUUUCUGAGGUUUGUAAUCUUGGCAUUGUCAUUGACUCCUCAUUCUCCCUCAUCUCAUCUAUCCAGUUAAUUGUCAAAUUUUACUGUUUAUAAUACCCAUCAUCUUUCACAUAUAGAUUUCUUCUCUCUUCUUACAUACCAAUCCCCUUAGUUAGGGAUCUCAUCACUUCUCACCCAGUCUACUGCAAUAGCCUCCUAAUGCAUCUCUCUUCCUUGAGUCUUUUCCUGUUCCAAUUUAGCCUACACACAGUUGCCAAAGUAAUUUUCCUUAAGGGCAGGUAUGACCACAUUACUCCUGUUUUCAGACUCCAGUUUUCCCCAAGAUAAAGUAUCAACUUCUCUGUUUAUAUUUUAAAUGUCUUAAGAACUUAGUUUCAAUCUAUCUUUCUGUCUUCAUUCUACAUUACUCCGAUUUCUGUUUUCUGAGAUCCACUCAAACUGGCCUUUUCCCCAUUCCUCACAUGUGGCAGUCUGUCUCCAUCUCUGUACCUUUUUAGUGGCCAACUCUCAUUCUUGAAAAAACUCUCUCCUUACUUCUACUUCAUAGAAUUUCUUUUCCUUCAAGAUGCAGUUCAAGUAUUAUCUUCUGUAUGAAGUCUUUUCCAAUCCCCCAGUGGCUAACCCUCUCUGCUGUUGUUAUUCAGUAGUUUCAAUUACUUCUAACUUUCAUGAUCCCAUUUGGGGUUUUCUUAGCAAAGAUGCAGAGGUGGUUUGCCUUUUCCUUCUCCAGCUUAUUUUACAGCUGAGGAAACUGAGGCAAACCAAGUUAAGCGACUUGCAUGGGAUCACACAGCUAGUAGGUUUUUGAAGCUGGAUUUGAAGUUGAAUCUUCCUGACUCUCUACCUAGUGCUUUAUACAUUGUACUAUUUAGCUGCCUUGAGUCCUCCCUAACUAUUUUAUAUUUAACUACUCUGUUUUCAUUUAUAUUUAUUCUCUUUAUAAUUAUUCUGUAUAUACUUAAAUGUUUCCUGAUGUUUCUCCCAUUAAAAGAGAAAAUCCUUGAGAGUAGGGAAUGUUUCAUUCUUUAUAUUUGUAUCCUUAAUAUCUGGUUUUUGGAGGCACUUAAUACAUGCUUGUUUUUGAUAUUUAAUUGAAGAGCACUGAUACCCCCCCCCAACAGAUUUGAAAUGUUGCAAACUCAUUCAUAGAUACAUAUAUCAAAUAAGUAUAAGCAAAAUGUUAUGUGAUUCUGAGAAAGGAAUCAAGGUCAUCACCAACGAGGUCUUCUAUCAUCCUUUCCACUGCCAAAAGUUAUUUACAAUGUGAUGAGGAAGAUUUUAAGAAAUAUGUCAGCAAUUCCAACUCAGUUGGGAUGAUAGAAGAAAUUCUAUCUGGGCCCCCCUUCACGUGGAUUACUGAUCAUGCAUGCUGUAAGGGGAAACACAGCUCUAUUUUGGGUUAUAGGGAAAAAAUAUAUUUUUUAAUGAGGACAGGGAAAACCAAAUACUUUAAAAGCAGUUCUCCUAAAAUUUGUGUAUAGCCCAUAUUUGGCUUUUUGUUUCAAAUUAAGGUAAUAGCUAUAUUAUAAUGACAUCUAAUUAUAGCAAUAAGAUAUCAGUGAAGAUUCAUAGAAAAUCAAUGAAUAGUUAAAUAGGAAACACUAUAGCCUCGGAUCAACCAACUAAACACUAUUCUUUUAUACAAGACGAACUGAGAUUCAUGACUACCCUGCCUUCUAAAAAAAAAAAUUAACCAUUUUGGGGAAAUUACAAGUACACACAUGUAGUAGUUAAUGAAGCAAAUUUGUCAGAAGUGCUCAAAUGAGCUAUCCAGACAAUAAGCAUUAAAAGUUGAGAGGAAGAAGUCUAGGCAGUAUGAUACUGGAGAAUGCUGGGUAUGAAGCAAAAGGGAUUGGGCUUAAAUACUAAUUCUCCUCUUUACUAUUUACUAUUUUACUUAAGAGUAAGUAAUGCUUCUGGACCUAAGCUUUCCCAUCUGGAUAAUAAGAAGGGUUGAAGAACAACAUGGUUUCUUCUAAUUUUAUGAUUCUAAUUAAUUGGACAAAAAAGUAAUAAAAAGGGCUUCUGUAGUCUGCUUUGGUGGCAGAGGUUUGAUUACAAAGGUUGAGAAUUGCUCAGCAAUUAUUGGGGCCUAAUCUUAUCUAAUCCAACUUGGUUCAGCUACCAUUUUAUUUUCUUACCUCAUGAAAUACUUUGUUUUAUAAUUCUAAGGCAUUAUUCAUGCAAUAGUCUGUAUCAUUUUCAUUUUCCUACUAGACUGAUCUCCAUGAAGACAAAAAUGAAGUUUUAUCUAAACUUUGUACAUAUGUUCUGUACAUAGAACUAAAUACUGAAGAUCCGGGCCUGUCCCAGGACACUAAAUUUAGAAUGCAUUGACAUAGAGCUAUAGAGAUUAUAUAUAAUACAACAGAAAUUAGCAAGAAUAAUUAAAAUAAGAAGAUGCUUUCUGACAAACUACAGCAAGUGUCAACCCUAUCCUGUCAAUCACCACAGAUAUCUCUAUGUUCUCCCAGAAUGGUGCUUGCUUCAGGUAUGGUUUGGAGUAGUUGAGCAAAAAUUCCCUCUUUUAUCUCUGUCUGAAGAUAGUGAAUUUUAAACGUGUUUGUUGCUAAAAUUAAGUUUUAUAUUCUGAAUAUAUAUCAGAAAAAUAUUACCAUGUGCUUUUCUCCAGUAAAUUUGUGAUUGUCCAUGAAGUCAGUUCAGAUAAUCCAGACAAAAGAGGUUGGAAAUUCAUGGUGUAUUCACCCUUCCAUUUUAGAAAUAGCCUUCUAAAUGUCUCUAUCUCAUUAAAAUGAACCAACAAUUCAGUUCCCAUGACUGAGGCUCUCUUCAGAGGAUAUUUAUCGUGGGGUAGAUGAUUUUCUCCAUUGAAUUGAUUAGUUGCUUCACUAAAUUGCCUGAAUCAACUGGUUGUUUGACAUCAUACAAAUACAAGUUGAAGGUGAUCAUGAGCAGCAAAGCACAGAGGUGCCUUGUGACUGCCCUGGCUGGAACAAUAGUAACCUGCUCUCUGAUGUAAUCCAUAUUCCCCCAGUGAAAAAUAAUUUUUUAUAAAAAGCUGACAGUCCUAAAAGCCUGAAAAUAGUUCUUAUGGAUUUCUUUAAAACAUGUUCAUAUUAAGUCUUCUAAAAAAUCACACUUUUUGAAAGAUUGUUUUGCUGAUAUUUAAAAUUUGUCAUUGCUGUUUGUUACAUAGAACCUGGAAGAGUUUUAUUUUCUCUUGAUCUCUAUGUAGAGUAAUGAAGAAUAUUUACAUCUUCUCUUUGAUGAGAUGAUGACAAUUAGCAAAAGAGCAUCCUAUGAUGUUCCUCCUGGCCCUGCCAGGGUUAUUGGAAGUUGCUAAACAGAGGGGCUGGAGGCAGGGCAUGAGUUGGGAUCAGAUGCAUGAGUUAAUAUCUGAGAAUUAUAGAUUUCAUGAAGUAAGGGAAGAGACUCUGCCUGGGGUCAGGCAGAUAGUUUAAAACCAGAAGAACAGAUUAGUUUAAUAAGUCAGUUUUAUGCAUUGGCUUGAGAAGUCAGCCCCACUCUCUAAAUACUCCACCCUAUUCCCUACCAAAUGAACUUCAGUUGGACAGUUUCCCUUUGGUUCCAUAUGUAACAUUGCCUCAGCAACAGGGACUAUUCCUAACCAGUCCUGGCUUAGACACGAGGGAAACUACAUUUGCUUUGGCAUAAUGUCUCCAGAGCCAGGGGGCUUCAUCAGUUUACCUUAGUCUGUUUUCAUCAGUGUGAGUGCUAUUCCUCCAUGGAUGAAGAGUGCAGCCCUUCUGUGCAUUAGGAGGUGGUCUUUGGGAAUUACUGUGGUCACAAAAUUUCACAUAACUAUAAUGUGGGGGGCAUUUUCCCCUUUCCCUCUAACCUCCAGGUAGGUUUUCAUCCAGUAAUAUAUUGUUCUGUGACUGACCUGACCCUAAUCCUCUCACCUCCAUGAGGAUUCACAUAUGUAGGGAAGGAGGCAAUUCAUUUGGAUUCAGGUUCUAUCAUUCUUGUACUGUGGCUUUAAAUUUCAAAAGCAACCCACUCUGAGCUGAAGUUACUGCUCUUGUGUGAGUGCUGGCAGGAAAAAAAGCAAGCACACAGUUGUGGAACAAAAUCUGUCAGUGUUAGUCCCCUGUCACUGAUUCCUCAACCCUGUUAUGUUCUGGUGCACCUAAGUGAUAAAUGGCCCCUUUGUUUUGUUUUUGGUAUUAAAAAGAAGAAGAACAAGAACAAGAAGAAAGAAUCAGAUUUAGAUUAAGCAGGGACAGAGACCCAUUUCAUUGCACAGUACUUUAAUAUUCCUGAGAUCCCUGGCUUGACAGGGCGACUCCUCUUAACAGCAGUCUCUCCCCGGAGCAGGGCUCUGUGCUGCCUUUGUUUCAUCUGAUCUUCUAGCUGAUUAAGAGAUGGUCAUUCAUCCUCAGUGCUCCCGUAUCCUGCUGGAUUUCUAUUUCUGAAAGAGAAACUGACCAGGAGAAGGAAAAAAGGUGGAAGCUGAUUUUGGACAGUGUUGUUCAGUGUGUGUUUACAGGCAGGACUGACUUACUCAGCAAAUCCUGCUCUGAUGAGCUCCAGCCAAUGAAGUGCUUAUAUCCCGACUUGCUUGGGGGCUUCUGAGUUUGAGCUGCAUGCAGAAAUGUAAGCAGCUCUUCCUGGUGCUGAUGGCAAAAUGGGGUCCACUGCCAGUUCUUCCUCAGGCUUCCUGGCUUUGCAGAUCUGGGAGAGAUCCUACAUAAACCUAUCGGUGAUGUAGCCUGCCUGGAAAGCCAAAAGAAUCCUCAUGGAUUCAGGAAACUGGUUUUUGAUUUAGAAUUAAUUUUUUUUCUGGAAGAUGAAAUGCUUUUCUCGUUACCUGCCUUACAUCUUCCGACCUCCGAACACCAUCCUCUCUUCCAGCUGCCACACAGAAGGUACCGACCAGAGAGGGCGGGUGUCUGGGAGGGUGGAAAGCAAGUGGGAUGGGUGUCUGACUUCCCCCAAAGCUCUGCUGACACUGCUUUUCACAGAUUCUAGAUGACUGCUGUUCUUGGCAAAAGCUUGCUGGUGACAGACUUCGAUUUGCUUGUAAGAUCAGCCUGACUGCCUUCUAGAUAGAGAUUCUUCCCUCAAGGAAAGACUUUUUUUUAAAAAAAAAGCAUGAUUGUGUCAAAAAGGUGAAUCCUGACAUGGAUGGGAAAAUGAUUCUAGAAUGUUUCUGCCAGUUCUCAUUUGAUCACACUGAGCACGCAAACAAGUCAUCAAAACUGAUGUCAAGACAGAUUUUCACUAGAUUUUGCCAGGCACGUUUUCUUAGGCUCUCAAGUUUGUCACUGUCUGUGUAAUAACUUGGGGCAUGCCCAAGACAGCAAUUAGCCAAAUAGAUUUGGGCUUUUGACGUAAUGGGAUAGUGUUUGUUGGCUGUUGGAGUUGUUCACUUGGAGCCUAUACUUAUGUUGCACACUGAAAAGGUCAGAGCUGACUUUCUGCACUUGCUUGAAAUCUAUUUUCAUAGGAGCUGAAGUUAAUGCUUUACCUAAACUUUAUAUUGCUUUGUAAUAGAACCAGAUCCAGAUUAGUACAAAUAAUGAGUCCCCUGAAGUGGCUGAAUUAUUAUUUGUGGUUCUAAGAGAAUGUCUCUAAAACUCUCUUCUCGCCUAGCAUGUUUCUUGCAUAUAUGUGUAUAUCUGAAUGUGUGUGUAUAUUCUAAACAUUUUUAAAAUCACCAUCCUGAGGCUUCAGUAUUCUCACUGUAACUAUUUAUCUCCUUGUUCCUUAUGCACCACUGGCAUCGGGUUAUUCUGUUUGUUCUCUCCCUGCUACCCCUGAAAAAGAGGGAUUUUGAGAACAGGAGCUCUUGGUAGUGAAUCCUCCGGCACCCUAUCAGACAUGAAGAUUGCCAAUGUAAUCAGUGGGCUUAGAAGGGAGAGCCCCAAAGAGUCAGUGUGGUCUUAAGAAAAGUAGUGCCCAGGCUGAGUUGUGUAACCAAUAUUUGUGGAAAACUUGCAAAUGACAUUCCUCCUUAUUAGAAGGAAGGAGCCUGGGUAGGAAGCUGUGUAUUUUGAGUGGGAGAGAAAUGAAAUACAGGGUACAGGGAAGCUAGGCUCUUUUCCAUCAGAAGCUCCAGGGAAAUAUCACAGGAGAUUGGGAUGACUGUUAGCUUGCCAGUGAUCUUGACUUUAACGAAAUAUAUAUUUUGAGAAAUGUCAUUUUAUUUUUUAAUCUCCUAUCCUCCCUAUCAUCUUCUUUUGAUAGCUUAGAGAAAUAACUCCUUCUCUGUAACAGAGAGACACAACUCAUAGAUUGGGUCUAUAAGAUGCCAAAACAAGCAGUCAACUGCCAUAUACAAUUACUUCAACUUUCUAUCAACUUUAUUUCUACAGUAGCUCUCACAUGCUUUCCCUUCUCUCUAUUCUAACCCAGCAGAGGCCUUCUUUCCCACCCCUCUGGGAUUAACAAUAGCUCCUAAACAAAUCUCUCUGCUUUUAUUCUCUUUUUUUUUUUUUUUUUCAUUCCCUCCCAAAGAUCAGGGGUUCUUUUACAUGAUUGGUAUGGAGGCAAAAGCUGGACAGUAGAAGAAGAUACUGAAUGCCUUGAGAAAGUAGAAAGAAUGACCUGGGAAUUGUAUACAACAACUGUGAUUUGUACUAGUUGGAACAUUUUGAGUUCUGCUUUUAUUCUCACUUCUCUCCAAUCUAUCCUUAAUUCCACCAACAGAACAAUCUUUCUCAUUCAUAGAUCCCAUCAUUCAACAAAUAUUUAUUAAGUGCCAAGCUAGGGGUACAAAGACAGAACAAUUAUGAUACUCUUCUGUUCAGAGCCAUGAUAUGGCUCCCUAUUGCCUGUGGAAUAAAAUUCAGAGUAGCCUUCUAUUCAACACUCUCUGUAAUUAAGUAUCUCUUUAUUUUGCUGUCUUUUCUUGGGUUACUUGUCACAUAUUUUAGGCUCAAGCCAAACUGGGCUACUUAAAAUCUCCCUUUUAUUGCCAUAUUCCUGUUUUCUUUUAUGCUUUUGCUGAUGUUCAUCUCUGGGUCUGGAAUAUCCUUACCCCCAUCCAUAUCCUGCUCUACCUGUUGAAUUCUUUUUAAAGGAAGUUAGCCCCACCCUUUUAAAGUUCAAUUCAAAUAUCACCCCUUCUGUAAACUUUCCCUUAUUCCCUCAAUUGGUAAUGUCCUUGUCCUCUCAGAUCUCACAUAUUAAGUACCAUGUGUCUUUCAUGCAAUCACAGUAUGAUAACUUAUCUUUGUGCUAUGCUCCUACUAUAUUAUAAACUAGUGAGGGAAGAGACCAUCUUUUCUAUUUCUUUGUGAUAUAGCUAGGUCUUAUGAAUUCAAAAAUCCCCUGAAGUGGUUGAAUUAUUCAAAUUUGAGCUGCCUAUUUGGAACCAAUUACUAUGUCUUACAAAAUUAUGAUUUCAAGCUAUGUGAAGUUGGGUAUAUGUGACCACUUGAGGGGAUUCAUUGUUCAGACUAAUCUGGAUCUACUUGUACUUAGUAAGUUCAUAGUUUUACAGCUGAGUUCAGUCAACUUAUUUUAUAAAUGAGGAAAGUGACGAAGUGACGUAGAAAGAGACAAAGAGAUUUGUCAGAUACCCUGCAGAUAGUAGUUGGUGCAGAUGGGACUGGGACCUAUGUUUACCAAUAUCAGAACCAUAAACUUUCCAAAAGGCCAUUCUCUGUAUUCUGUAACUCAAAUAGUUAAGAAAUGUUUGUUUAAUUGAAUUGAACUGAAUAGGAAAAAAAUACCCUGCAAACUGAUUUUACAUCUUGCAGACAAAAAUAGUCUAGUGGGUUGACAAAAUCUAAUUGGCUUUUUAACUGAAUUAACUGAUCCAUCUUGCAAAAAUAGCCAAAUAAGACGCUGACAGCCUCAGUGACUCUCAUCAUUGGGAAGAGAAGUAAAAGGAAAUAAUCCUAAAGUGGAGAAACUGCUCUGGAACAAUCAUCAAAACUCAUUUUUCAAGGAUCUAUGAAAUAUCUGUGGCUAAUUCUUCCAUCGAUCCAGAUCAUAACCCCUUUUUAGAGAUGGCCUCUGGGAGUUGCUGUGGUUACAAAAUGUAUCCCAAUGCAGCCAACUUUUUGAUGGCUCUCUCUCCAUAGUUUUGCACUGUCCUCUAUGCCUGGGAUUCCUCCUUCCUCACUUUUGCUAUUAGAAUCCUUGAUUUCUUUCAAGACUAAACUCAAAUGCCAUUUUCUUAGGAAGCCUUUUCCAGUUCCUCUAAUUAUCAGUGCCUUCCUCUCUAAGGUUAUUUUUGCAUCUACUUUGUAUGUAUCUUGUAUGCAUUAUUUCACAUACAUUCUGUCCUUGCUCCCUUCUUCUCCUCUUUAGGAUAUAAGCUCCUUCAGGGCAGGAACUGAUUUUACUUUUUCUUUAUAUCCUCAGCACCAAGAACAGUACUAGGUAUAUAUUAAAUGCUUAAUAAAUAUUUAUUAUUUUUGAUUUUACUUUGUAUUUUCAACAUAAGAAUAGUGCUACAUAGUGCUUAAUAUAUAUAAUUAAUGUAUAUAAUUUAUAAGACCUAGCUAUCCCACAAAGAAAUAGAAAAGAUGGUCUCUUGCCUCACUGAGCUUAUAAUAUAGCAGGAGCAUAACAUAUAAUAUGUAGAAUAAUAAUUAUAUAUUAUAUAAUAAUAUAACAUUUAUUGACCAAUUGAUCAAUUGAUUUGUCCUCCACUAACAAGACUAAAGCCUCUACACCAAGGUAGGACUUAUGUUCUAAUGGCAUAAUCAGUGCUUAUUAAAUAUUUGGACUAGAUUUCUGAAAUUUAGUCAAAUUGCUCAUGUAUGUGUGUGUGUGUGCCAGCAUUGCCUUGCAAAAUAAGGAGUUCCAGCAUCUAUUAGUGGAUCCAACUGUCACAGAUCAACAAUGACAGUUUUGUCAGUGUUCCCCAACCCCCAUCCCCAUCCCCCUACUCCCCACCCACUUUAUUCUUAAACUAUGGUAUAUUUCUGUUAUCAGGACCUGAGUUAGUUUUUUUUUUUCCUUUAAAACUUUUCCAGGAUUAUGAGAAUAUCACAAAACCGACUUUGCCUUUGUUUUCCUUUAUGACUGGAAGCAUACAUUUUCGGCAUAUCUAGAGAAGUUAUUUUAUAUAUCUCACAUAAUUAUAUCUUACUUAAUUAUCAGUUUGCUCAAAGCAAAAGAAAUAGGAGUCAGAUGAGCAGUCCCACAGAGGCCUGCUGGGAACUUCUAUAAAUGCUUUAACUACCUAGACAUAGGUGUGAUAGAAAGAAUCACCAUAAUCAGAAAACUGAAGUUUUAGUUUCAGUUUUGUCUUUAAAUAUAGAGGCAACAGAAAAUACUUAAUUUGGAAUAAUUAAUUAUUGUAAGCUUUUUAAAUCUAAAAUCUCUUCUACACUAUACUUGACAGGUGAUCAUCUGGCAUACCAUCCCAUUUUUGGACAAUUCUAAUAGUUGGACAGUCUUUCCCCAUCUUAUAUCAAGCCUGAAUCUGCCUCUCUCUUUCAUACCAUUUAAAACAUACUCUUAGUUUUGCUCUUUGAAGCCAAGUAGAAUAAAUCUAAUAUCUUUUCUUUCUUUUUUUUGGUAGAACAUCCUAAAAUUUUAAUUCUUUUUAGUUGGUUUAUUCACAUGGCUUUUGAUUAAGAAAACUAUAGAAAUUUAGUAACUGCAACAAUUUAACACUAGGCACUAGCCACUGAGAAUCUGUCAUUUUUUUGUAGAGUCCUGCUUUGUAGAACAUUUGGAAGGAUCUGCUCUGAAAUAUUGGUAGCCUGUUCUGGAAUUAAAUAUGGAAGUAUUGAGCCUUUUUUCAUGUUUCUUUGAACUCUUACAGAAGUGUUCUGACAGAGUUUUAAAAUGGUCUUUAGAGUAUUCUUUAGUUAAGUCAUCCUGAAAGGAGUGUUUUGGCUUGAGGUCAUCCACAGGUUCUACAAGGAAAGGGAUGACUAGAUCAGUUUGGGUUGCUAGCUUCCAAUUUUUAACAUUGGUAGAUAAGAUCUGCCCUUUUUAAUCAAUGCAAAGGACAUACAUGUAUGCUUUUAAAUAAGAUUUCAGUGGCUUGAAUAGACACUCUGCUAAGUAGUUGAUUUUAAUUCUGAAGGUUUGGCACAUGGAAAAUUGCCAGGAACAAUAAACUCAUGCAAAGCCAAUAAAUUAAUUUCAUCAACCUGGGUGCUAUGGAAUUUUUUUUAUUACAUAUUUGCAGAGUUUUUCUAACUCUCUCAUCAGCCUAUGCUGGCCACCAUCUUGGACCCAGUACUACUGUCUUAUGUGUAUUUUUAUAUAUGCAUAUGUGUUUAUAUAUAUGCAUAUGUGUUUAUAUACAUAUAUGUAUAUAUACAAAAUUCUUUUUCUAUGUGGUAGCCCUUUAAAUAUUUGGAUAGCUAUCAUUUCUCUCAAAGUCUUCUCUUCUCUGAGCUAGAUGUUCCCAGUUCCUUAAACUGGUUCACAUGUGACAAAAAAUUGAGGCCCUUCUUCAUCUUGGUUGCUCCCUAUGUGACUUUGGCCAAGUCAUUGAAUAUCUUUACACUGCAAUUUCCUCAAAUAUUGACUAAGAAUAAAGACCCAUGCUCUACUUUCCUGCCUCAUAGGAUUUUGAAGCUUAAAUUAGGUCAUGUAUGUAAACACACUUUGAAAUAAAGUACAAUGAAAAUAUAAGACAUCCUUAUUACAGUCAGGACAAAAAUACAUUUUUAUGGCUCAACUUAAUAAGGAAAUUGUUAGUGAAGCUAUGGGGUUCUGGUAUCACAGGUCCCCAUUAUCAUGUCCUUCCUUAAAUGGAGUCAAAUCAAAACAAAAACAAAUCAUAGCAGUGAUGCAUGAACAGGGCUUUGAUAGAGACACUCAAAUUGUCUUCCCAUCUCUGUGGACCUAAUUAAAAGAGCAAUAUUUCUCCCCUCCCUCAUUGUGGGGGAUGACUCAUCUGGUAAAAAUAUCACAGUACUAGAGGGACAAAAUAUCGGUUACACAGAGACUAAUCUGUCUAGGAACAGAAAAAAUAAUGGUGUGCAGCAACAGGAAAAGGUGAGAUAUCUUUCAAUCAUAAUGAACACUUCCCCCACCCCUUUUCCUUCUGAGGUCUUUAUGACGUUUGAAAUUCAAAGGAUUAUAUGUAUUUCCACACAUUAAUAUUCAUAUUAUACAUAUAUUAUAUGUGGGGAUAUAGAUUUGUUGUUGUUCUUCAGUCAUGUCAGAUUUUCCAUUAUUUUGUUUUCUUGACAAAGAUGCUGUAGUAGUUUGCUAUUUUUCCCUCCACUGGAUUAAGCUAACCAGAGGUUAAAUGACUUGCCAAGGAUCAUACAGCUAGUGAGCUAAGCUGGAUUUAAACUCAGGUAUUCCUGACUUCAGCUUCCCUCCCCACCACACCCACUGUUCUAUCCACUGAGCCAUCUCCCCCUCUCCUUCUCCGUCCCUCUCCCUCUCUCCCUCCCUCUCCCUCUCCUUUCCCUCCCUCCCUUUCCCUCUCUUCCUCUCCCUUUCCCUUUUCCUCCCUCCCUCUCUCUCUUCUCCCUUCUCCCUCUCCCUUUCCCUCCCUCCCUCUCUCUUUCCUUCUCCUCUCUCUCUCACUCUCUCUCCCUCCCUCCCUCCCCCCUCCCUCCCUUCUUCCCCCCUCUCCCAGUAACAAACCUAUGAGGCAAGCAAAGGAGCACAUUUUCUCCUCGUGUCAAAAGUGAAGAAUGUGAAAUACAGAUAGGAGAGAUGACCUUCUCUACCAAGGUCACAUAACUAUUAAAUGACAAAGCUGGUACUAGUACCCAGGUCUUCUGACUUUUUUGUAUACCAACCUUGGGACAUAGGAGUAGUUACAGGUGUUUCAAGAAUGUCUCUAGGGAGAUUGUCCAUAUGGCUUGUAUUUCUUUGUCUUUCCCCCACAAAAUCAGGGUCAACUUCUAUUCAUAAGCUUCAUUUCUUUUCUCUUUGUUUUGUUUGUUUGUGUGUUUCUCUUUGUCUUUCUCUGUCUUUGUCUUUGGUCUGUCUCUCUCUUUCCCUCAGUUUCUGUCUCUGUGUCUGUCUCUCUGUCUCUAUCUCAUUCUGUCCUUCCUUCCUUCCUUUCUUCUUUCCUUCCUUCCUUCCUUCCUUCUUUCCUUCCUCCUUCCUUCCUUCAUUC
rnacentral:lncRNA from 1 species